CAGCAGCCGCGGGAAUACGUAGGGUGCAAGCGUUAAUCGGAAUUACUGGGCGUAAAGCGUGCGCAGGCGGUUAUAUAAGACAGAUGUGAAAUCCCCGGGCUCAACCUGGGAACUGCAUUUGUGACUGUAUAGCUAGAGUACGGCAGAGGGGGAUGGAAUUCCGCGUGUAGCAGUGAAAUGCGUAGAUAUGCGGAGGAACACCGAUGGCGAAGGCAAUCCCCUGGGCCCGUACUGACGCUCAUGCACGAAAGCGUGGGGAGCAAACAGGAUUAGAUACCCCCGUAGUCCCUGUCUCUUAUAC
rnacentral:rRNA from 1 species